rnacentral:rRNA from 1 species
GGUCCCGCAACCAACGCAAUCUUUGUUAUUAGUUGCUAGCAUUACGUUGGGCACUCAAAGGAGAAUGGCUGGGAUACCUCGGGAGGAAGGUGGGGAUGACCUCACUUCCUCCUGGGGCCCAAUUCCCGGGGUAUACAACUGCUACAAAUGUGGGUACAAUAAGGUGCAAGACCGUGAGGUGGAGCAAAACUUAUAUAGCCUAUCUCAUUUCGGAUUGUAGGCUGCACCUCGCCUACCUGAAG